rnacentral:rRNA from 1 species
UACGUAGGCAGCGAGCGUUGUUCGGAGUUACUGGGCGUAAAGAGUGCGUAGGCGGUUUUCUAAGUUUGGUGUGAAAUCUCCCGGCUUAACUGGGAGGGUGCGCCGAAGACUGGAAGGCUUGAGUAUGGGAGAGGUAAGCGGAAUUCCUGGUGUAGCGGUGAAAUGCAUAGAUAUCAGGAGGAACACCUGCGGUGUAGACGGCUUACUGGACCAUAACUGACGCUGAGGCACGAAAGCGUGGGUAGCAAACAGG